CUAUCCUACGGGAGGCAGCAGUGGGGAAUAUUGGGCAAUGGGCGCAAGCCUGACCCAGCAACGCCGCGUGAAGGAUGAAGGUUUUCGGAUUGUAAACUUCUGUCGCGAGGGACGAAGAAUGACGGUACCUCGUAAGAAAGCCCCGGCAAACUACGUGCCAGCAGCCGCGGUAAUACGUAGGGGGCAAGCGUUGUCCGGAAUGACUGGGCGUAAAGGGAGUGUAGGCGGCUUAAUAAGUUAGAUGUGAAAUCCCGCGGCUCAACCGCGGAACUGCAUCUAAAACUGUUGAGCUGGAGUGCAGGAGG
rnacentral:rRNA from 1 species